rnacentral:rRNA from 1 species
GACGAACGCUGGCGGCGUGCUUAACACAUGCAAGUCGAACGAAGAGCGAUGGAAGCUUGCCUCUAUCAAUCUUAGUGGCGAACGGGUGAGUAACGCGUAAUCAACCUGCCCUUCUGAGGGGGGCAACAGUUGGAAACGACUGCUAAUGCCGCAUACGAUCUGACCUCGGCAUCGAGGAUAGAUGAAAGGUGGCCUCUAUUUAUGAGCUAUCACUGGAGGAGGGGAGUGCGGCGGAUUAGCUAGGUGGAGGGGGAACGGCCCACCAAGGCGAUGGUCAGUAGCCGGUCUGAUAGGAUGAACGGCCACAUUGGGACUGAGACACGGCCCAGACUCCUACGGGAGGCAGCAGUGGGGAAUCUUCCGCAAUGGACGAAAGUCUGACGGAGCAACGCCGCGUGAGUGAUGACGGCCUUCGGGUUGUAAAGCUCUGUUAAUCGGGACGAAAGGCCUUCUUGCGAAUAGUUAGAAGGAUUGACGGUACCGGAAUAGAAAGCCACGGCUAACUACGUG